UACGGAGGGUGCAAGCGUUAUCCGGAUUCACUGGGUUUAAAGGGUGCGUAGGCGGGCAUUUAAGUCAGUGGUGAAAUACCUGAGCUUAACUUGGGAACUGCCAUUGAUACUGGCGAUCUCGAGUUCGGGAGAGGUGAGUGGAACUGCGAGUGUAGAGGUGAAAUUCGUAGAUAUUCGCAAGAACACCAGUGGCGAAGGCGGCUCACUGGCCCGAUACUGACGCUGAGGUGCGAAAGCGUGGGGAGCAAACAGG
rnacentral:rRNA from 1 species